rnacentral:tRNA from 1 species
GCGGUCGUGGUCUAGAGGCUAUGAUGCCUGCUUCACACGCAGAAGACCCGAGUUCGAUUCUCAGCCACCUUG